rnacentral:piRNA from 1 species
UGAUAGAAUGAAUGAGAUCAA